GAUGAAGAACGCAGCGAAAUGCGAUAAAUAAUGUGAAUUGCAGAAUUCAGUGAAUCAUCGAAUCUUUGAACGCACAUUGCGCCCCUUGGUAUUCCGAGGGGCAUGCCUGUUCGAGCGUCAUUAUAACCCCUCAAGCUCAGCUUGGUGUUGGGGCCUGCUGCACUGGCAGCCCUUAAAAUCAGUGGCGGCGCCAUCUGGCUCUAAGCGUAGUAAUUCUUCUCGCUAUGGAGUCCUGGUGGAUGCUUGCCAUCAACCCCCAAUUUUUCUAUGGUUGACCUCGGAUCAGGUAGGGAUACCCGCUGAACUUAAGCAUAUCAAUAAGCGGAGGA
rnacentral:misc_RNA from 1 species